rnacentral:rRNA from 1 species
GCUUGUCUCAAAGAUUAAGCCAUGCAUGUCUAAGUAUAAACAACUCUAUACUGUGAAACUGCGAAUGGCUCAUUAUAUCAGUUAUAGUUUAUUUGAUAGUACCUUACUACUUGGAUAACCGUAGUAAUUCUAGAGCUAAUACAUGCAUACAACCCCAACUGCCUGUGCGGACGGGGCGUAUUUAUUAGAUCGAAACCAAACGGCUUCGGCCGUCUCAUUGGUGACUCUGAAUAACUUUGGGCUGAUCGUAUGGCCUUGUGCCGACGACGUUUCCUUCGAAGGUGUGCCCUAUCAACUGUCGACUGUGAUAUAGACGCUCACAGUGGUUUUGACGGGUAACGGGGAAUCAGGGUUCGAUUCCGGAGAGGGAGCCUUAAAAACGGCUACCACAUCCAAGGAAGGCAGCAGG